rnacentral:rRNA from 1 species
GAUGAACGCUGGCGGAAGGAGGAACAAAGGCAAGUCGGACGGGAAGUGGUGUUUCCCGUGGCGGACGGGUGAGUAACGUGUAAGAACCUGCCCUUGGGAGGGGAACAACAACUGGAAACGGUUGCUAAUACCCCGUAGGCUGAGGAGCAAAAGGAGGAAUCCGCCCGAGGAGGGGCUUGCGUCUGAUUAGCUAGUUGGUGAGGUAAUAGCUUACCAAGGCGAUGAUCAGUAGCUGGUCCGAGAGGAUGAUCAGCCACACUGGGACUGAGACACGGCCCAGACUCCUACGGGAGGCAGCAGUGGGGAAUUUUCCGCAAUGGGCGAAAGCCUGACGGAGCAAUGCCGCGUGGAGGUCGAACGCCCACGGGUCGUGAACUUCUUUUCUCGGAGAAGAAACAAUGACGGUAUCUGAGGAAUAAGCAUCGGCUCCCUCUGUC